rnacentral:rRNA from 1 species
AAAACUUUCAACAACGGAUCUCUUGGUUCUGGCAUCGAUGAAAAACGCAUCGAAAUGCGAUAAGUAAUGUGAAUUGCAGAAUUCAGUGAAUCAUCGAAUCUUUGAACGCAUAUUGCGCCCUUUGGCAUUCCGAAGGGCAUACCUGUUCGAGCGUCAUUA